ensembl:piRNA 21ur-5172 ncRNA
UCAAAAAUUGAAGGUGUUCAC